UCAUAUCAGAGAUUGCCACAGACACCCAGGGCAAUGUGAUUUGUCACUUAAAGAGGACGGCAGAUCAAGAGCAUCUCAUCCUCCGGCUGCUGAGUCAUCCUGCUCUGGCAGUUAUUUAAACAGAAGGCUCCAGGAGACAUACAAUCAACACUCCACUCAGACAAUGCCCAGACCUCCAGAAACCAUGUGUCAAGCUCGGAUUGCCUUAGACAGGUGCAAUUUAAGAACAGCUUUCAUCCUCUUUUCUCUCAUAUUGUCACACUAUGUGUUCUGACUUCUGGCUCCUUUCCUCACAAGAAGCUCACCCAGCUGGAACUCUUAUGGGACCUUGGCACCAGAGACCACAAAUUCCUCUUUGAAGUUUUCUAACAGCAACAAUGGUAUUUCUGACUUGGCUUUCUUGUAUUUCUCUCACGUUAACAAAAUUGGUUCAGCAUCUACCAUGGGCUACAUGCUGAGCUACAGAGUUUCGCUCUGUCGCCCAGGCUGGAGUGCAGUGGCGCGCGAUCUCGGUUCACUGCAAGCUCCACCUCCCGGGUUCACGCCAUUCUCCUGCCUCAGCCUCCUGAGUAGCUGGGACUACAGGCGCCCGCCACCACACCCAGGAAUCCAACUUGCUGUUUGCUAUCACAUGUGCUAUACAUGCUGUUGAUGAAACUGCUAAAGGGGCUGAAUGUGACUGACGUCUUUGGAAGGAUGAGACUUAGCGUGCCUGUACAGUUGUGUCCAAAUGCUGUCCUCAUCUCCCAAUGAAAAGGGUUUUUCCUUAAGCCUCACAACAAUUUACAGCAUUGCCAGCAGCAUUCAGUACAUUCAGAACAGGAUAAUUUCACCCGCAGCUGAACUAGGGCCAUGCCUGGGACAGACAGAGAAUGGCCUUCCAGCAGACAUGCCAAGAAGCAAGCCAGGGUCAGUGAGUGAAGAGGAGGGCAGGCCCAUUUGAAGCAACACAGUUUAUGUAAGUGUGAUCUAACUGCUUUCACUGGAAAUGGGUCAGACUCCAGUUGAGAGAACCAGGGGCCUGAAUGACCCCAGCAAAAUCACUGUGGCAAUUCUUUCAAUCACCUCUGAGAAUAUGGCCCUGUGACGACAUAAUGACGUUUGGAUUAAUUCCAGUCGGCUGUGUUUUCCCCUCCUUUCUUGCCUCCCCGUAGUUGAUUUGCCAAAUUUUUUUUGUUUGCUUAAAUACGCGGAACUAAACAGGAUACAUUAUAUGACAGUCUGUGAUAAAUUUACCACUGGGAAUAGGGAAAAAGUAUGGGAUAAAGAAAUAGGUAUUUUUCGCCUCUCACAGCUGUGAUUCAGUUCUGACUCAAAAGGAAGUGUGCCACCUACUGAAUCACAGAAACCACUUCCUGUGGCUGUUUGGUUUAUUCUGGAGGAGCAUCAGGCCAAGUGCUGCCCUGCCCUGACCCUGACUGGCUCUUCAGAGCCAAGGCAUUCACAGCUUGAGGUGGUUUGGCCUCAGACUCUUGAGAACAUUGCAUAUUAAAUUACAAGUGUUUCGUUUCCUAGCAAGGAGUCUUUAGCAACAUGAAAACGAACGUGUGUUAUUUGCAAACCAAGUAUAUCAUUACUGAACCUGAAUAUCCUUACUUUUUCAUAAGGUACGUAUUCCGGAUGACCACUCUUAAGAUCUGAAUGUACACUGGUUCUGUUUUUCCUGAGGGGAACUUGGGCAGUCUGCAGGGUGGCAUUUACCAGCUGAGGGACUUCAAGAGCACCCUUUAAUCAGUGUGGCAGCACUCAACUUGUAUUCACUCACUCAGAGUAUUUUUGAGCAUGUACUUAUUGCCAUGUGCUGUGCUAGGUAGGGGUAGAGGGUACAGUGGUGAACAAGACCCCACAGCUCCUGACCUCAUGGCUCAUGUGUUCUACACCAUAAGGGAAUCAAGCUGUGUCUCCCGGGGCAGGGGCCUUCCUCUGUUCACCAUGCAGCCCCAGCAUCUAGCACCUGGCGUUGCAUAAAGGAGGCUCUAAAUCAAGCUUGUCCAACCCAAGGCCCACGGGCCACAUGUGGCCCAGGAUGGCUUUGAAUGCAGCCAAACACAAAUUUGUAAACUUUCUUAAAACAUUAUAAGAUUUGUGUGUAUGUGUUUUAGUCCAUCAGCUAUUGUUAGUGUUCAUGUAUUUUAUGUGUGGCCCAAGACAAUUCUUCUAUGUGGCCCAAGGAAACCAAAGAUUGAACACUCCUGCUCUAAAUACUUGUUUGUUGAAUAGAUACAUGAAAAGAAAGAAGGAGAGAAGGAAGAAAGGAGGGCGGAAGGAAAGGAAGAAGGGAGAGAAGAAGAGAAGAAAGAAGCAGAGAAAGGAAGAGAAAAGAAAUUACGGCCAGUGCGGUGGCUCACGCCUGUAAUCCUAGCACUUUGGGAGGCCUAAGCGGGCUGAUCACCUGAGGUCAGGAGUUCGUAAGCCAGCCUGGCCAACAUGGUGAAACCCUAUCUCUACUAAAAAUACAAAAAUCAGCAGGGCAUGGUGGUGCGUGCCUGUAAUCCCAGCUACCUGGGAGGCUGAGGUAGGAGAAUCGCUGGAACCCGAGAGGCGGAGGCUGCAGUGAGUUGAGAUCAUGUCACUGCACUCCAGGCUGGGCAACAGAGUGAGACUCUGUCUCAGAAAAAAAAAAAAAGAAAGAAAGAAAGAAAGAAAGUUACCAUUAGUUUUUUGUUGUAUUUGCAAGCAAAGACAAAAGCACCAAGGUACUUGUUUCCUUCUGUAAUUAGAGUUUCAAAUAGACUAAAAGUUUCUGCUCUUAGGUGGGUCUAGAGACUCUCCAGUACCUCAGGACCUCAGGACACAUGGGGUCUCUUGGUUGUUUUCUUUUCAUUGUUGUUGUUUAUUUUAUUUUUGUUUUUAUUUUUUAACUUUAAAACAAUUUUUUGUAGAUGAAUAUGCUUACAUAUGUUUGGGGGUUUUUUUGAGACAGGGUCUUGCUCUGUUGCCCAGGCUGGAGAGCGGUGGUUUAACCACAGCUCACUGCAGCCUCGACCUCCCAAGGUAGGGACUGCAGGUGUGUACACUGGGGUGCACCACCACACCCAGCUAAUUUUUAAAUUUUUUUUUGUAGAUAUUGUCUCACUCUGUUGGCCAGACUGGUCUUGAAAUCCUGGGCUCGAGCAAUUCUCCUGCCUCGGCCUCGUAACGCGUUAGGAUUACAAGCGUGAACACCGCACCUGGCCAGCAUGUGGUCUCUUAACCAGAGGAGGCCUCUUCUGAACUAGGUAGAGGUCCUGAGAAUUGAUUCUGAGAGUAAAAGGCUCUUUGUUCUCCUCAGAGUAGAUUAGAAUCCCUAAUGAUAGAGCAUCUAUUAUUCCUCUAGUGGUCCAUGCCCAACAGAUUCAUCCAAGAAUAGAUGAAGAUCUUUGUAAUGUUGUGCAAGUAAUCUAAUCACCCCACAGAAGAGCUGUGACUUAAAUUAUCCCAGAGUCGGCCCACCUGUUUUCAUAAAGAUCAAUGUAACUUGUAAAUUUCUUCAGUUCUCCUCACCUAUCAUCAUUUGACUAACAAAACCCAGAAAACUAGGCUAGUUAUGGUGGCCUAUGCAUAUAAUCCCAACUCUUUGAGAGGCCAGGGUGGGUGGAUUGCUUGAGUCCAGGAAUUCGAGACCAGCCUGGGCAACAAAGGGAGACCCUGCCUAUAUCCCAGCUAUGCAGGAGGCGAGGCCAGAGGAUUGCCUGAGCCUCAGAGGUUGAGGCUGUAGUGAGCCAUGAUUGCCCCACUACACUCCAGCCUGGAUGACAGAGUGAGACCCUGCCUUAAAAAUAAUAAUAAUAGUAAUAAUAUUUCAUAAAGAUACAGGAAACUAGAUUAUAAUUGACAUUUUCAAAGUGAAAUACUGUCUAGAAUGGUGCUUGGCCAACAGUAAGCUUUUUGUAAGUGGAAGUCAUUACUACUACUAUUUCUUUCAUUAUUAUUACCAUUACUACUUUUUUUUACAAAAAAAAAACCCUGGACAACACACUGAAACCAUUACUACUUCUACUACUAUAACUUAGGUUGCACCUGAUAGAGCCAGCAAUUUUUCCAAGGUAUGACAAUGGCCAUAUGUUUAAUGAUAUAAUUCUAUGGCUCAGUGUAUCUCAGCCUUUUUAAACCCUGCUCUUCUUUUGACAAUUGUAAAAAUCUUAAACUGACCUCCAGUUGAAAUCCUCUGUCAAGAAGAUAUUGUCGGCCAGGGGCGGUGGCUCACACCUGUAAUCCCAGCACUUUUGGAGGCCGAGGUGGGAGGAUCACUUGAGGUUAGGAGUUCAAGACCAGCCUGGCCAACAUAGUGAAACCCCAUCUCUACUAAAAAUACAAAAAUUAGGCAGGCAUGGUGGUGUGUGCCUGUAAUCCCAGCUACUCAGGAGGCUGAGGUAGGAGAAUUGCUUGAACCUGGCAGGGCAGAGGUUGCAGCAAGCCGAGAUCACGCCACUGCUCUCCAGCCUGGGUGAGACUGUCUCAAAAAAAAAAAAAAAAAAGAAAGAAAGUAAGAAAAAGAAGAAAUCCCAAUCUCUUCUUUUAUGUGGAUUCUUCCUCACUUGAAUAAUACUUUUCUUCCCCAGUAUUCUCCAUAUUAUCCCAGAGUCAGCCCCUCUGUUUUUGUAAAGAUCUACGUAACCUCCUCUAAGUUUCCCAGUUCUCCUCACCUAUCAUAUCAUUUGGCUCAACAAAGGGCAGGAAGCUAGAUUCUAAUUGAUAUUUUGAGGCCGGGAGCAGUGGCUCAUGCCUGUAAUCACAGCACUUUGGGAGGCUGAGGCGGGCAGAUCACUGGAGGUCAGGAGUUCGAGACCAGCCUGGCCAAUAUGGUGAAACCUCGUCUCUACUAAAAAUACAAAAAAUUAGCCAGGCUUGGUGGCUUGUACCUGUAAUCCCAGCUACUCAGGAGGCUGAGGCAGGAGAAUAGCUUAAACCUGGGAGGAAGAGGUUGCAGUGAGCCGAGAUUGCUCAAUUGCACCCCAGCCUGGGUGACAGAGCAAAACUCCAUCUCAAAAACAAACAAACGAACAAACCUGAUAUUUUCAAAAUUGAGGCAAUUAUAACAGCUAUUUAGCCAAGCAUUAUGAUAGCAAUAAUAGCAAGAAAAUAAAUUAGUUAACAAAUGAGUCUCAGAAGCCCAAUGAUUUUUAUUUUAUUUUUAUUUUUUGAACUUUUAUUUUAGAAUCAGGGGAUACAUGUGCAGGUUUGUUACCCGGGUAUAUUGCAUGAUGCUGAGUUUUGGAGUAUGCAUGAAUCCAACCUGUCAUCCAGGUAGUGAGUAUAGUACCCAACAGAUAGUUUUUUUAACAUUUACUUCACUCCCUUCCCCAAUCUUGUAUUCCCCUGUGUCUACUGUUCCCAUUUUUAUGACUGUGCCAACAAUAAUUUUUUUUCUUUUUUCUUUAAAUAGAGAUGGGGGUCUCUAUUUAAAGAGCCUCCCAAAGUGCUAGGAUUACAGGUGUGAUCCAUUGCACCUGGCCCAUGCCAACAAUAUUUGAAACCCUUAUCUGCGUGUACAAGUUUGCUACUGGUUUUGUUUUGCUCAUUAAUACAUCCCAAGCAUCUAUACCUGGCUUGUAGUACCAGCAUGUAGUAGGUGCUUAAUAAAUAUUUAUUGAAUAAAUAAAUUAGUUUGACAUUAGUUUAACAUCUCAAGUAAAACAAAAUACCAUUCAAUUAAUUCUCUUCUUCUACUUUUUUCUUUUAAGAGAGACAAAUAGUCACACAUACAUCAGCAGGAGAGGAUACAAUUUCCUGUGUUUAAGUUUUUAUGAGUUACUUUAGUUCAAAUGUCACAGAAAAUUAUAUUGAACUCUUGACCAAUCUAUCUAUUUUUUCCAUUGGAGUAUUGACCCAAAUAAGAAAUAGCAUAAAGGAAAAAUUAUUUUUUGGCAGAAAAAUAUUCUCUCUAAAUUCUUGUGUGUUUUGUUUUGAUUUUUUCCUUAGUGACUGGAGGCCAGUUUCAAUCCACUGAAGCACAGAUUCCAAAUUUUCAAUCUGGUUUUCUUGAGUAGUGACUGAGUGCCAAAAAUGAAGCAAUGACACAACAUCACCAUCAAGACACUCCCCAGCACGCACACACAUGCCAGAGUCCAACACCAAGAUACUCCCCAGCACGCACACACACGCCAGAGUCCAGGCCAUAUUCGGGUGGCUUGCAAGCUUCUUCCCCCCAAGUAUUUACUCUCAAAAUAAUGGUUUUUGUUUUGUUUUGGUUUGGUUUGGUUUGUUUUUUUCCAAAUACAUUUCUUCCCUAUAUCUUUAACCAAUUCUCAUAAAAUUUUGUCUAAUACACUGGUCAGUGUAUUCCAGACCCUAAAAGAUAACAUAAUGAAACUAUCUAUGACUAAAAGGUAAUCAGGAUCUUCUACUUAUCCUUUUUUCCUCCCUCUUAAACUUUAAUUUUGAUACAUUUGGGAGUGAAAUGAUGACAAUAAAUGCAAAGUAAUUAUUGAAGAAACAGUAAUUUUGUAUUAGCUUACUGAAAAAAAAAAAAAAGAUAACCAAAUAUAUUUUGGCAGCCCCAAACGAGUCACAUGUGAAAUGCAGUGGGAGAGCAGUGUCCUGAAGGAAAAGGUGGCCUGCUGGACAGCCAAGAGAACAAACAUCCACUGCAAGUAAUAUGAGCUCUAAGUUUGGACUAGGCCUAUGUCUGCUCUGAGACUUGGGGCAAUUCACUUAAUCAGAGCCUUAAUCAGCUACGGACUAGCAAUAUCCAUACCCGCUACUUAUUUUGUAAAUCUCCUUUCUAAAGUUAACUCUAUUUAUUGUUCCAUAAUCCCAUAAAUUCUAGAAUCUUUUCCUGUUAUAGCCAAGUUGUCUAUCAUUGACAGAGAUAUUCACCUGGUUGUUUUGGCUUCUCUAAUCCUCCUGGUGAGAACACCUCCAAGGGAGCUUUCAGUGGCAUUUAAGGUCACUUGUGCUCUUGGUCCUAGAAACUGCCUUGAUAGUGGUUUUAGCUCACAUGAGGUAAGUCUUUAUUAUAUGCCCAACCUCUUUAUGCAUUACUUCAUUUAAUUGUAUACUAAUCCUUUGUCAUAGGUUAUCAGAGUGUUUGAUUAUAAGUUACAGGAAGAAAAAAAAAAACAAACUCCAAUUGACUAAAACAAUGGGGCAUUUUUUGACUCACAUAACAGAGAGUCUAGAGAGAAGGCACCUUCAGGUUUGGCUGAUGAAUCCUGUAUCUCUGCCUUGUCUCCAGGCCCCCAGGUUCUGCCUCUGUCCUGACAUCCAGUGUUGGAUUCCUCUUCACAUCAACUCCUCUCUGUAGGUUGGGCCAUCAGACCCUACCUCCUUAUUUAUGUUGAGCAAAGGAGAGAGAAUGCCUCUACAAACAAUGAAAAAAGUGAAAAAAAAAAUCUUUCUCCUCCUUAUAACUUUAGUUAGCUUAACUUUAGUCAGUUGCUUAGCUACUAAACAGUAGCUAUUGGGAGGUGGGAAGGAAUACUAUUGUGUAAUCAACUAAGGCUCAUACAGAGGAUUAGGGUUAUCUGAAUUGAUUUGAAUUAAUUAGAAUUUACUCUCAGAGCUGUGGCAAUUCCUUGAACCACACUGAUUGCUAUAAAGUGGAAGAGGAAUAGAUUGAAUUUUGGGGAGUCAACUACAAUGUGUACUACAGGAACAAAACCCAUCAGAAGAUGUCAGAAGAUAAGGAUUUUUGUCCUGAUGCUACACUUACCAGCUGUCCCUCAGUGUUCUACUUCUUAAAAAAAGAGAGAUGGAUAAACAGAGGCAACCCGAGGAUAAAGGCCUUGCUCAGUGUCACACAUUUCAGUCACUAAAUAAGACACAAUGGAUGCCAGUAUUCUCAUCCCCUCACAAAUAAAGAGCCUUCAAGCUCUUGCAGUCAACAAGAACUUUUGGAAUGAUUUCACUGCCUGAAAAGGCAGAUACAUAGGUGACACCCACAAAUAGGAAGAAAAUCAACCUGAACCUGAGUGUGUGGGCUCACUGACUCUAAGCAGUAGAGACAGAAGAAAAAGUUUUAGCAAAGAAGGGUUCUGAAAGAAAAUAAAUAUAGCUCGUUAUCAAGUGCUGUUUUUACACAGUAAAACAUGGGCAAAAUUACUCUUCUUUAAGUAGUAAUUCUUAUCUCUUGAUUAAGUCACCUACUCAUUCAUUUAAUAAAUACAUACUGAUUGUUUUCUAUGUGUUGAGCACUCAUCUCUGUAUUGGAAAUAUAAUAAUGACCAAAGUUGACAAUAGUAAUAACAAUAAUAGCUAAUAUAGCAGGCACUAAUAAUUAUUUGUUGAGUAAUAUGUCAAAAUUCAGUGUGAACAGCAUUCUAUUUGGGGCUGCAUCCACUGACUAUAACACAGCUAAUCUAUCUGAAAUGUUCCAGCUUUGGGCCUCUCUAACAGAAGAAGCUGUUGUUGGGCCUGCCUCUAGUUGGCGAUGCAUCCACCAAUGAGAAUGAAUUUAUGAUCGACCACUCUUCCUGUAAAGGCCGCUGGAACUGACAGCAUUGUGAUUUUCUUUUACUGUUAGUUUUAAAUUACUAGAACCAACUCAAUUACUAGAACGAACUUUACUUCUUUGUUUCCUACUUAUCAAAACAGUAAAAACAACAAGUAAAAGAAAUGCCAUCUUAAUAUUGUUUUGAUGACAAAACAGUAUUCCUUUUAGUUGUGCUUCAAAUGGAAUAAGAUGCAAACAGGCUUGGUAUGGUGGCUCACCCCUGUAAUCCCAGCCCUUUGGGAGGCCAAGGUGGAAGGAUUGCUUGAGGCCAUGAGUUUGAGACCAGCCUGCGCAACAUAGCAAGACCGUGUCUCUACAAAAAAUAAAAAAUUAGCUGAGUGUAGUGGUGUGUGCUUGUGGUCCCAGCUACUUUUGAGGCUGAGGAGGGAGAAUCUCUUGAGCCCAGAAGGUCGAAGUUGCAGUGAGCCGUGAUCGUGCCAUUGCUCUCCAGCUUGGACAACAAAGCAAGACCCUAUGUCAAAAAAUAAAUAAAUAAAAGACAUAAACAUAUCUGAGAUUAACUUUCAGUGGUAAAUUUGUUCCAUAUAUGAUUUUUAAGGUUAAAUGCUUUGGAAGCUUUAAAAACCAUUUCAGCCCUUUUAAAUGCCAACUUACACUGAUGAUGCUCUCAGAUGUUAGGAAAUCUUUUGAGCAGAAAAUGGAAGUGGGGGUGUUGAGGCAGGGAGGAGAGUGAUGCAAUAUUCCUUAGUGUCAUCCUGUGAUUUCACAAUUUGUUUUUCAAUCUGUUUGGACUUUCAAAAGGGAAGACUCUCAUAUGUCAACAAGCCCAUGAACUGAAGCUUAAAACACUGGAAACAACAACUGUAGAGUUUCAAGUAUAUGUACAUUUAUGUAUUCAUGUUCCUUGAUGGGAAUGCUGGCUGGUGUGAAUGUUCAAUCUCCUGAGAAAUGUAAAUUUUUCUCUGACAGAUUUAUUAGCUUGCUGUAUCUGAGCACAUGAGCAAAAACAAUGCCUAAUAAGAAAACUUUCUCUCUCCUUCAAAGUCAAACUUGGGAGAAAUGAAGGGAAAUCGAGUUUUCUUUGCUUGACAGUGUUCAACAUUCUUGUAGUCAGUGUGCUCAUGAAGAUUGCAAACUUUUUUUUUUUUUUAGAGCAGCUAGGACUACAGGCGCGCACCACCACACCCAGCUAAUUUGUGUAUUUUUAGUAGAGAUGGGGUUUUAACUAUGUUGGCCAAGCUUGUCUCAAACUCCUGACCUCAAGUGAUCCAUUCGACAGCUCUUUCUUUUUUUUUUUUUUUUUUGAGACAAAGUCUCGCUCUGUCACCCAGGCUGGAGUGCAGUGGUAUGAUCUCAGCUCACUGCAACCUCCGCCUCCUGGGUUCAAGCAAUUCUCAUGCCUUAGCCUCCCGAAU
rnacentral:lncRNA from 1 species